UAGGGAAUCUUCCACAAUGGACGCAAGUCUGAUGGAGCAACGCCGCGUGAGUGAAGAAGGGUUUCGGCUCGUAAAGCUCUGUUGUUGGUGAAGAAGGACAGGGGUAGUAACUGGCCUUUAUUUGACGGUAAUCAACCAGAAAGUCACGGCUAACUACGUGCCAGCAGCCGCGGUAAUACGUAGGUGGCAAGCGUUGUCCGGAUUUAUUGGGCGUAAAGCGAGCGCAGGCGGAAGAAUAAGUCUGAUGUGAAAGCCCUCGGCUUAACCGAGGAACUGCAUCGGAAACUGUUUUUCUUGAGUGCAGAAGAGGAGAGUGGAACUCCAUGUGUAGCGGUGAAAUGCGUAGAUAUAUGGAAGAACACCGGUGGCGAAGGCGGCUCUCUGGUCUGUUACUGACGCUGAGGCUCGAAAGCAUGGGUAGCGAACAGG
rnacentral:rRNA from 1 species